GAAACAAAAAAAUGAAUUUCUAUAUAAAUAUCUGUAGUCCUUAUCCUAGUGAGUAAUACGAGAAAAAAAAAACACAAAAUUUUAGUAUCUUUAUUAUCUCCGGAGAUACUACGACGCGUUCAUCUUCGUGGGACGCUCUGUAUUAUCGAUUGAGCUCUUUUGUACUUUACGCAUUACGCGUGCCGUUUGUUCGUAUCCGGAGCGUACCGAAUAGAAAAUUAUACGAUAGUGACACAGUGUUUCCACGAAUGUACAUUUAUUUUAGAGUUAUUUCUUCAGUACGGAUGUCGCUUGUGCAAAGGACGGAAUGUAGCCGGGAAAAGCGGUACACCUAGGUACGUACGUUAGUUGAGGGGAUCCGAUGGUGUUAUUUAUCGACGGCGCGGGUAUAAUGUAUAUUGUACAAGUAACGCGUGUAACUCGUUGACUCUAAAUAUCCGAUUGAUUAAAUGGAAACUUCUAGUUUAUAGGACAGUUGAAUAGGAUUUGUAGUGCGCCGCGACCUUUUAUUGU